rnacentral:rRNA from 1 species
GACGAACGCUGGCGGCGUGCCUAACACAUGCAAGUCGAACGGAAAGGCCCUGCUUUUGUGGGGUGCUCGAGUGGCGAACGGGUGAGUAACACGUGAGUAACCUGCCCUUGACUUUGGGAUAACUUCAGGAAACUGGGGCUAAUACCGGAUAGGAGCUCCUGCUGCAUGGUGGGGGUUGGAAAGUUUCGGCGGUUGGGGAUGGACUCGCGGCUUAUCAGCUUGUUGGUGGGGUAGUGGCUUACCAAGGCUUUGACGGGUAGCCGGCUUGAGAGGGUGGCCGGCCACAUUGGGACUGAGAUACGGCCCAGACUCCUACGGGAGGCAGCAGUGGGGAAUAUUGCACAAUGGGCGGAAGACUGAUGCAGCAACGCCGCGUGCGGGAUGACGGCCUUCGGGUUGUAAACCGCUUUCGCCUGUGACGAAGAGUGAGUGACGGUAAUGGGUAAAGAAGCACCGGCUAACUACGUG